GAUGAACGCUGGCGGCGUGCCUAAUACAUGCAAGUCGAGCGAACGGACGAGAAGCUUGCUUCUCUGAUGUUAGCGGCGGACGGGUGAGUAACACGUGGAUAACCUACCUAUAAGACUGGGAUAACUUCGGGAAACCGGAGCUAAUACCGGAUAAUAUUUUGAACCGCAUGGUUCAAAAGUGAAAGACGGUCUUGCUGUCACUUAUAGAUGGAUCCGCGCUGCAUUAGCUAGUUGGUAAGGUAACGGCUUACCAAGGCAACGAUGCAUAGCCGACCUGAGAGGGUGAUCGGCCACACUGGAACUGAGACACGGUCCAGACUCCUACGGGAGGCAGCAGUAGGGAAUCUUCCGCAAUAGGCGAAAGCCUGACGGAGCAACGCCGCGUGAGUGAUGAAGGUCGUCGGAUCGUAAAACUCUGUUAUUAGGGAAGAACAUAUGUGUAAGUAACUGUGCACAUCUUGACGGUACCUAAUCAGAAAGCCACGGCUAACUACGUGC
rnacentral:rRNA from 1 species